UACGUAGGGGGCAAGCGUUGUCCGGAAUCAUUGGGCGUAAAGAGCGCGUAGGCGGUCCGGUAAGUCCGCUCUGAAAGUCCGGGGCUCAACCCCGGGAGGCGGGCGGAUACUGUCGGGCUAGAGUCCGGAAGAGGCGAGUGGAAUUCCUGGUGUAGCGGUGAAAUGCGCAGAUAUCAGGAGGAACACCCGUGGCGAAGGCGGCUCUCUGGGACGGUACUGACGCUGAGACGCGAAAGCGUGGGGAGCGAACAGG
rnacentral:rRNA from 1 species